AGCGAACGCUGGCGGCAGGCCUAACACAUGCAAGUCGAACGGAUCCUUCGGGAUUAGUGGCGGACGGGUGAGUAACACGUGGGAACGUGCCCUUUGGUUCGGAACAACUCAGGGAAACUUGAGCUAAUACCGGAUGUGCCCUUCGGGGGAAAGAUUUAUCGCCAUUGGAGCGGCCCGCGUCUGAUUAGCUAGUUGGUGAGGUAAAGGCUCACCAAGGCGACGAUCAGUAGCUGGUCUGAGAGGAUGAUCAGCCACAUUGGGACUGAGACACGGCCCAAACUCCUACGGGAGGCAGCAGUGGGGAAUCUUGCGCAAUGGGCGAAAGCCUGACGCAGCCAUGCCGCGUGAAUGAUGAAGGUCUUAGGAUUGUAAAAUCCUUUCACCGGGGACGAUAAUGACGGUACCCGGAGAAGAAGCCCCGGCUAACUUCGUGCCAGCCGCCGCGGUAAAAC
rnacentral:rRNA from 1 species